GACGAACCGUGCGAACGUUGUUCGGAAUCACUGGGUUUAAAGGGCGCGUAGGCGGGCUGUCAAGUCGGUGGUGAAAUCGUUCCGCUCAACGGGACAAUGGCCUUCGAUACUGGCGGUCUGGAGGGAGGUAGGGGCAUGCGGAACUUCCGGUGGAGCGGUGAAAUGCGCAGAUAUCAGGAGGAACACCGGUGGCGAAGGCGGGUCUCUGGGCAAUAACUGACGCUGGAGGAGCGAAAGCGUGGGGAGCGAACAGG
rnacentral:rRNA from 1 species